rnacentral:sRNA from 1 species
GCUGGGCGCUGUGGUGAAUGCCUGUAAUCCCAGCAGCUCAGGAGGCUGAGGCAGGAGGAUCACGCACGAGUUCAAAGCCAGCUUCAGCAAUGGCGAGGCACUAGGCAACUCAGUGAAACCCUGUCUCUA